rnacentral:rRNA from 1 species
UGAGGAAUUUUGCGCAAUGGGCGAAAGCCUGACGCAGCGACGCCGCGUGGGCGACGAAGCUCUUUGGAGUGUAAAGCCCUGUCAGGUGGGACGAAUCCGGAAGGGGUGAAUAAUCCCUUUCGCUGACGGUACCACCAGAGGAAGCCCCGGCUAACUCUGUGCCAGCAGCCGCGGUAAUACAGAGGGGGCUAGCGUUGUUCGGAAUCACUGGGUGUAAAGGGUGCGUAGGCUGUCCGUUAAGUCUGAUGUGAAAGCCCUGGGCUCAACUCAGGAAUUGCAUUGGAAACUGGCGGACUCAGAGUACCGGAGAGGGAAGCGGAAUUCCUGGUGUAGCGGUGAAAUGCGUAGAUACCAGGAGGAACACCGGUGGCGAAAGCGGUUUCCUGGCCGAGUACUGACGCUGAGGCACGAAAGCGUGGGGAGCGAACGG